GACGAACGCUGGCGGCGUGCCUAAUACAUGCAAGUUGAGCGAUGAAGAUUGGUGCUUGCACCAAUUUGAAGAGCAGCGAACGGGUGAGUAACGCGUGGGGAAUCUGCCUUUGAGCGGGGGACAACAUUUGGAAACGAAUGCUAAUACCGCAUAACAACUUUAAACAUAAGUUUUAAGUUUGAAAGAUGCAAUUGCAUCACUCAAAGAUGAUCCCGCGUUGUAUUAGCUAGUUGGUGAGGUAAAGGCUCACCAAGGCGAUGAUACAUAGCCGACCUGAGAGGGUGAUCGGCCACAUUGGGACUGAGACACGGCCCAAACUCCUACGGGAGGCAGCAGUAGGGAAUCUUCGGCGAUGGACGAAAGUCUGACCGAGCAACGCCGCGUGAGUGAAGAAGGUUUUCGGAUCGUAAAACUCUGUUGGUAGAGAAGAACGUUGGUGAGAGUGGAAAGCUCAUCAAGUGACGGUAACUACCCAGAAAGGGACGGCUAACUACGUG
rnacentral:rRNA from 1 species